UACGAAGGGGGGCUAGCGUUGCUCGGAAUUACUGGGCGUAAAGGGCGCGUAGGCGGCCAACUAAGUCAGACGUGAAAUCCCAAGGCUCAACCUUGGAACUGCGUCUGAUACUGGAUGGCUUGAGUUCGGGAGAGGGAAGUGGAAUUCCACGUGUAGCAGUGAAAUGCGUGAGAGAUGUGGAGGAACACCGAUGGCGAAGGCAGCCCCCUGGGUCAAGAUUGACGCUCAUGCACGAAAGCGUGGGGAGCAAA
rnacentral:rRNA from 1 species